CCUACGGGUGGCAGCAGUGAGGAAUAUUGGUCAAUGGACGCAAGUCUGAACCAGCCAUGCCGCGUGCAGGAAGACGGCUCUAUGAGUUGUAAACUGCUUUUGUACGAGAGUAAACGCAGAUACGCGUAUCUGUCUGAAAGUAUCGUACGAAUAAGGCUCGGCUAACUCCGUGCCAGCCGCCGCGGUAAUACGGAGGAUUCAAGCGUUAUCCGGAUUUAUUGGGUUUAAAGGGUGCGUAGGCGGUCGGAUAAGUUAGAGGUGAAAUCUCGGGGAUCAACCUCGGCAUUGCCUCUGAUACUGUUCGGCUAGAGAGCAGUUGCGGUAGGCGGAAUGUGUGGUGUAGCGGUGAAAUGCUUAGAGAUCACACAGAACACCGAUUGCGAAGGCAGCUUACCAAGCCACAUCUGACGCUGAGGCACGAAAGCGUGGGGAGCGAACAGGAUUAGAUACCCGAGUAGUC
rnacentral:rRNA from 1 species